GAUUGCCUAUGAUGAUAUUAGUUAUCCCUGUCUUAAAAUAGCUAAAUGCUCUGUGGGGAAAUCAAUUUCUGAGGCAGUG